AUGGCACUACGAUUUGACAUAUUACUUGCACAAAAGGCGGGAAGCAACCGUCUUGUUGUUAACCCUGACGAUCUGGAAGUAAUUGAUACAAUGAAGAAUGGAGGACAUUUAGCGGGAGUUGUGGCUACUGAAUUCGAUGAUUGUUAUUUUAUGGCUUGUGAUUUUUCGUUAAUUAGAUUUGAACAUUGUAAUAGGGAGGCAAACAAAGUAGCUCCUAAAAUUGCUAGGUUAGCUAAAUUUUCCGAGACAAGGAAUUGUUUCGAGGAACCUAUGAAUGAUAUUGUAAAUUUUCUUAUAAUGAUGUAA
rnacentral:rRNA from 1 species